UGAGGAACAUGACCUUCGGCGGGGGAUAGCCGGCCCAACGGCCGGGUAAUACCGCGUACGACCACUCGGGGACAUCCCCAGGUGGUGAAAGCAGCAAUGCGCCGAAAGAGUGCCUCGCGGCCUAUCAGCUAGUUGGUGGGGUAAUGGCUCACCAGGGCAACGGACGGGUAGCUGGUCUGAGAGGAUGAUCAGCCACAUUGGGACUGAGACACGGACCCAAACUCCG
rnacentral:rRNA from 1 species